UAUCUAUACGAGAUGACGGAGUAUACUCAUGUGCAGAUACAAUAUCGUUUGAAAAUCCCGAUUCAAUUACAUUGGAUUGCAUGGGGCUAAAGAAGACUCAUCAUUUACGAGGAUAAAAGUAUAAAAGAGAUAAAAUCGAGGAUCAGCGAGCCCUCCAUAGAUUACCACCGGUGGAACAUCUAGUGUUGCUUGGACGACAAUGUGAUCUUUGAAUCUCUGUAUCGGGGUCCCACUCUUCCCGUUCCAGCCCAUUAAAAUACUUGAUGCCUCAGCGAGGAUUUGAAUUUACGAUUGUCUCACCGAUUCGAUUGCGAAAAUCGAAUUUGCACUUCUACCAAUUACCGUGCAACGAGCGAUAAAAUGAAAAAUAAAGAAAAAGAAUUCUUAAGUCUGUAGAUAUACAAUUUGAGUAUAGUGUAAAAAAGCAAUGCCAUCUGAAGGAAUUAAAUUUGGACGAUUACAUUCGUCACAGGCAA